rnacentral:rRNA from 1 species
CGAAAGAGCGAUCUUAAGCAAAUCCCAAAAAAGGNGCCCCAGUUCGGAUUGCAGCCUGCAACUCGGCUGCAUGAAGCUGGAAUCGCUAGUAAUCGCGGAUCAGAAUGCCGCGGUGAAUACGUUCCCGGGUCUUGUACACACCGCCCGUCACACCAUGGGAGCCGGAAACGCCCAAAGACAGCGGCCUAACCGCAAGGAGGGAACUGUCUAAGGCGGGUCUGGUGACCGGGGUGAAGUCGUAACAAGGUAUC